UCGGGAAUUCCCCAGUGCUUGUUCCUCAGCACUGCUUCACCAGUCCCAUUUGUUUCCAAUAUAUUUAAUUUAUAGUUUUCUGGAGGCAGGGUAUAGUUUGGGUAAAGAAAUUUCCAGAAAUCAUCCCCCAAAGGCAGUGUGUUUCUCUUCUGAGGGAAAAGAGACUGAUUUCCUUGACCCCCUGCCAUCCUUCAUCCUCGAGGCACAGAGAAUGUGUGAAUGGAGCCUCUGGUGAAACUGAGGGAUGCUGAGCACACCCUACUCCAUCGGUGGUACCCAUGAGGCAGGUAGCAAUAGCCAAGACUUUAAUAGUCUCAUUGUGUUCAAGCUAAAGAAAUUAAAGAGAAAAGAGAUGGGCAUAUUUUUAAGGUAAAAGUAGAAAACAAAUCUGUUGUAGUUCCCUGAGUGUGGGAGAACAGAAAACAGGACUGACAAAGCAUCAAGAGAUAUUGAAAUCAGGUAUCAUCAUCUCAACAAUAAUAACCAUCAUUUAGAAAUGCUCACUAGGCACUUCACAGAAGUUAUUUAAGCUUCUCCGGUGACUCAGAAGGUAAAUAAUCUGCCUCCAAGGCAGGAGACCCAGGUUGGAUCCCUGGGUCUGGAAGAUUUCCUGGAGAAGGGAAUGGCUACCCACACCAGUAUUCUUACCUGGAAAAUUCCAUCAACAGAGGAGCCUGGCGGGGUACAUACAGUCCAUAGGAUCACAAAGAGUUGGACACGACUGAGUGACGAACACUUUCAUUUUUCAAGAACCUUAAAUGUUAUGGUAUACUCAUUUUGCACCUGAGGGAUCAGCUCAGAUCUUGUGACACGGUAGCAAGAGCACUUGUCUGGAAGUCAUUCAUUGGCUCUAUGACCUUGGGCAAGUCCCUUGACCGGCUCUGGGCCUCAGUUUCCACUUGGAGCUAUAUUACAGCCUUUUUUAGUUCUAACAUAAGUGGAUUGACCUUGAAAUGCAGAGAAGCCCAGACAAAUAAAAAUCCCCUUAAAAACUCAUCAUCAACAUUAUACCAUGCAAGGUACCAUUUCCCUAUGCAACAUGUAUCCAUUGCCACUGUCACGCCAGGCUCUGUGCUCAGUCCUGGGAUGCAAAGGUGGACAACUGAGACUCUGUUUUCAUGGAGUUCACUUGUGAUCUUGGCUUGUGUGUGUGGUUUUUUUUUUUUCAAAUAGACUUUAUAUUUUUAGAAAAGUUUAAGAUUUAUAAAAAGAAAAAAAAAAAGGAGGGGGGCCUCCCUGGGUCCAGUGGCUAAGACUCCAUGCUCCCAGUGCAGGAGGCCUAAGUUUGAUCCCUGGUCAGGGAAUUAGAUCCCACAUGCCGAAACUAAGACUGGUACACCCAAAUAAAUAAAUAAAUAAAAUUUUUUUAAAUGAAGAGAAACUUCCCUGGCAGUGGUUAAGACUUCUUGCUCCCAGUGGGAGGUAGGGGGAAGGUUUAAGAGGGAGGGUGGGUAUAUGUAUACCUAUGGCUGAUUUAUGUUGAUAUAUGGUAGAAACCAACACAACAUACAACAAUUAUCCUUCAAUUAAAAAUAAUUUAAAAGAAAGACAAAAAUAAUAAAUCUUUGUUAGUGAAGCAAAGGAAAAAGAAAAUUCCAUGCUUCUACUGCUGCUGCUGCUGUUGCUGCUAAGCCACUUCAGUCGUGUCCGACUCUGUGCGACC
rnacentral:lncRNA from 1 species